rnacentral:rRNA from 1 species
CCUACGGGAGGCAGCAGUAGGGAAUCUUUCACAAUGGGCGAAAGCCUGAUGGAGCAACGCCGCGUGCAGGAUGAAGGCCUUCGGGUUGUAAACUGCUUUUAUAAGCGAGAAAUAUGAUGGUAACUUAUGAAUAAGGAUCGGCUAACUCCGUGCCAGCAGCCGCGGUCAUACGUAGGAUCCGAGCAUUAUCCGGAGUGACUGGGUGUAAAGAGUUGCGUAGGUGGCAUAAUAAGUAGCUAGUGAAAUCUGGUGGCUCAACCAUUCAGACUAUUAGCUAAACUGUUAAGCUCGAGACCGUUAGGGGUAACUGGAAUUUCUAGUGUAGGAGUGAAAUCCGUAGAUAUUAGAAGGAACACCAAUAGCGUAGGCAGGUUGCUGGGACGGUUCUGACACUAAGGCACGAAAGCGUAGGGAGCAAACGGGAUUAGAUACCCCAGUAGUC